UCCUGUUGUGUUGCCGGUCAGCACACAGAAAGAACAGGUCCCUUUUUCAGCUACACCAGCAAGUCUUCGGGCACAGCAGGGAGCUGUGGAGCGGGAGAAAAUGAACAUGGGAUUUGGUGUGUGAACAGCUCAUGGGGAAUGCGUAGAAGAAAAGGUUGUGUUGGGAGUAAAUGUUGACCUCUGCAAAGCUGAGGAAUGUCCAGCAGGUGGAUGGAGCUGACUCAAGGAGAAAGCUGAGCAGCCUUGGAUACUGAGCUCUGAUUGGUGAGUCUAGAGCUCCAGUGUCCAUCCAGGCCAUUCCACCGGGGGAGCACUGGGAUCCGAAUUGGAGGGCAGCUCAUCUGAACAUGGGGACCAAACUUGUUUCAGAAGUGGCUCACCCUGCUGUAAGUGGCUACAAAAUGGUUUUUGCUUUAACUCUUUCUUGCCUGAAAUGUUAAACUGCUACUGAUGACAACUUCUACAUGAACCUGACAACAAAAAGUAUCCAGAACAGCAUCUGCCUCAACACACACAGAGGGGAUCCCACCUCACCCAACUACAAUAUGGGAACCACAGAACCCAGACCAUCAUUAUCCCAGCUCUGCAGCCAUCUGACUUCCGCAGCGCCAGGACAGCAUCGAUUCCAGCCGGCUCCUACCCCCUCAUUCCCGAUCGGACUUCAAGCCCUCCGGGAAGGUCACCGGUCUGCAGGUCACCUUUCGGACGCCGCUCGUCGACGCAGGAGUCACAGAGAACGUGGAGACCAUCAAUGGGAUCAAGGAAUGGCCAGAGUUUAUUAGAUACAGUGCUCUUCUUAU